UGGCACUGCCAGGGGCCAGCCCCGCAGGGACAGGAGAGUGCUGUACCAUGAGUACAGGUGCUAUAAAUAGGGAAGAGCCAUGUGUCAGGCAGCAGCUCAGCUUCCUGAGGGGCAGCAGGAUCUGAUUUCCCCCGGCACCAAUGGAUUUCCAGACAUCUGAACACUUGGGGCGCCACUGCUUUCAAAACAAGUGUCCAAAAUCCCUGGUCAGACCGGAGCUGAGGACAGGGAAACCCCCAGGAGCCGGAGGCAGCUCCAGCUCACACCUCCCGAUGCACACACCGGGAUCGACAGCCAGGAAAACCUCAAAAUCCACCCAGAGCUGCUGAAACCCGCACCCAGCCCCGGGGAAGCGGCACGAGGGCCAAGCCCAGGGGGAUAUAAAUGAUGUUCCUCCCCGGGGCUGCGAGCGGAGCGCGCCCGGGCAGGGCGCCGGGCUGGACCCUCUAGUGCUGCCCGUGCCAGCGGGACCCCGAGGCAGGGCAGCGCCCCGAGGGGCUGCCAGGCCCUGGCAUCGCUCAGCACGUGCUUUGGGGCUGUUCCUGCGCUGCAGAGCCGCGGGAGAGGCGGCGAGGCGACAGCACAGGCACCGCGGAUGGGCGCGGGCUGCCCUGCCCUGCCCUGGCUGCGCUAGACCCCGGUCAGAGGAGGCUGGAUGAGGAACUGGAGUGGUGAAAGCAGGCGCAUGAUGGAGAAAAUGGAAUAAAUAUUUCCCCAACCAGAAACUAUUGCACAGACUGCUGGGGCAGGAGAAACACAGCUGAGUUACUGUGAAAGCAAGGCAAAAUCCAAACAGUUUAGGCUGUGGAAACCAGUCAUUUGCAAAGCUACUUCCAAAAUCACUUCACAUCCACCAGCCCAGGGGCUGCUCUGCUGCUGGGAGGUUCCCCAGUGAGGGCCAGCCAGCAGCCAGCAGCCGUGCUGCUCCAGAACGCAGCAGUGCAGAGGCCACCCCUCCAGACGUCCCCAGCACGGCCCCGCUGGCCUGUGGCUGCCCUGGCUCAGGCAGUUCCUCUGUGGCAGGGCAGCCCCGGGGUGGCUGUGCAGCCCCAGCUGGGCUGGGCUGCCAGGCAGAGGCGUGGGGCUGGCAGCACAGGGAGUGGCAGCGGGACAUGGCUGGUGCUAUCUGUGACCCACAUCGCUUUAUGGGCUGUCUGCUGUUUACAGCGCAGCAGCCAGCUGGGGUCAGGCUGCACAGGUGACUCACAGCUGAGCAGCUCCUGCUGCCCCGUGCUUGGGACUGAAAAUGGGAUAAUAACUGGUGUGGGAACUGCUGUGAGGCUUCGCCUCUCCAUUCCUCUCGAUGGCUGCCGGGGCUUACGGAUACAGGACUGGAAUUCUUGCUUGCUUAAACAGUGCUCUUAAGUAUUUCAUCAUGAAGCGGGGGAAGCUGAAAUUAAAAUAUGAUGAGUCGAAGCCCAGGCAUUGCUCAGCCGAGGGCUUGGUGACCUGCCAGGCUCCUGGGGAAUGCUUUUAAUUUGGAUAAGUGGAAAUUGCAUCAAUGGCACAAGCAGCACGCUGCUCUUGCUGCUCACACAGAGCGUGGGUGCAGCUGGCAGUGCCACAGGAUGUGUUGUCUCUGGCUGAGCACCCAGCCAGGCACGGCUGCUCCCGUGCACAGC